UACGUAGGGGGCUAGCGUUGUCCGGAUUUAUUGGGCGUAAAGAGCGUGUAGGCGGCCAGGUAGGUCUGCUGUGAAAACUCGAGGCUCAACCUCGAGAUGUCGGCGGAAACCAUCUGGCUAGAGUCCGGAAGAGGAAAGUGGAAUUCCUGGUGUAGCGGUGAAAUGCGCAGAUAUCAGGAAGAACACCUAUGGCGAAGGCAGCUCUCUGGGACGGUACUGACGCUAAGACGCGAAAGCGUGGGGAGCGAACAGG
rnacentral:rRNA from 1 species